AGGGUAGUGUUUGAAGUCUUUAAUUGAUAGAGAUUAGGUUACUAAUAAAAAGGUUAGUAAAAGGAUUUUGAGAGUUUUUACGUAAAACAUAAUUUUGGAUGAAAAGAGGAAGACGCAAGGGCUAGGGCAUAUGAAGAACUUCAUUGUUAGAGCUUGAAGUUGCAUCUUGCGGGAAAAUAUAAGAUAUGUGGAGAUUACUCCUAAUAGGGUGUAUUUUUCAUGUUUGGGUAGAGGGAUACCCUUAAUCCCAUU
rnacentral:lncRNA from 1 species